GAUGAACGCUGGCGGCGUGCUUAACACAUGCAAGUCGAACGGAAAGGCUCCUGCUUGCAGGGGUACUCGAGUGGCGAACGGGUGAGUAACACGUGGGUGAUCUGCCCUGCACUUCGGGAUAAGCCUGGGAAACUGGGUCUAAUACCGGAUAGGACCACAUUUUGGAUGGUGUGGUGGAAAGCUUUUCGGUGUGGGAUGAGCUCGCGGCCUAUCAGCUUGUUGGUGGGGUAAUGGCCUACCAAGGCGUCGACGGGUAGCCGGCCUGAGAGGGUGUACGGCCACAUUGGGACUGAGAUACGGCCCAGACUCCUACGGGAGGCAGCAGUGGGGAAUAUUGCACAAUGGGCGCAAGCCUGAUGCAGCGACGCCGCGUGGGGGAUGACGGCCUUCGGGUUGUAAACUCCUUUCGCUAGGGACGAAGCGCAAGUGACGGUACCUGGAGAAGAAGCACCGGCUAACUACGUG
rnacentral:rRNA from 1 species